UACGUAGGGGGCGAGCGUUGUCCGGAGUUACUGGGCGUAAAGCGCACGCAGGCGGUGCGGCGCGUUUGGGGUGACAGCUCCCGGCUUAACUGGGAGAGCGCCUCGAAGACGGCCGCACUUGAGGGCCAGAGAGGGACACAGAAUUCCGGGUGGAGUGGUGAAAUGCGUAGAUAUCCGGAGGAAUACCAAAGGCGAAGGCAGUGUCCUGGUUGGUACCUGACGCUGAGGUGCGAAAGCAUGGGGAGCGAACAGG
rnacentral:rRNA from 1 species